rnacentral:rRNA from 1 species
UACGUAGGGGGCUAGCGUUGUCCGGAAUCAUUGGGCGUAAAGAGCGUGUAGGCGGCUCGGUAAGUCCGCUGUAAAAGUCAAAGGCUCAACCUUUGAAUGUCAGUGGAUACUGCCGGGCUAGAGUCCGGAAGAGGCGAGUGGAACUCCUGGUGUAGCGGUGGAAUGCGCAGAUAUCAGGAGGAACACCGGUGGCGAAGGCGGAUCUCUGGGCCUUACCUGACGCUCAGGUGCGAAAGCUAGGGGAGCGAACAGG